UACGGAGGGCGCGAGCGUUGUUCGGAAUCAUUGGGCGUAAAGCGCGUGUAGGCGGCUGGGCAAGUCGGAUGUGAAAGCCCGGGGCUCAACCCCGGAAUUGCAUUCGAAACUGCCUGGCUCGAGUCUCGGAGAGGAGGGCGGAAUUCCCGGUGUAGAGGUGAAAUUCGUAGAUAUCGGGAGGAACACCAGUGGCGAAGGCGGCCCUCUGGACGAUGACUGACGCUGAGAUGCGAAAGCGUGGGGAGCAAACAGG
rnacentral:rRNA from 1 species